rnacentral:rRNA from 1 species
GUAGGUGGCAAGCGUUGUCCGGAAUUAUUGGGCGUAAAGCGCGCGCAGGCGGUUCUUUAAGUCUGAUGUGAAAGCCCACGGCUCAACCGUGGAGGGUCAUUGGAAACUGGAGAACUUGAGUACAGAAGAGGAAAGCGGAAUUCCACGUGUAGCGGUGAAAUGCGUAGAGAUGUGGAGGAACACCAGUGGCGAAGGCGGCUUUCUGGUCUGUAACUGACGCUGAGGCGCGAAAGCGUGGGGAGCAAACAGGAUUAGAUACCCUGGUAGUCCACGCCGUAAACGAUGAGUGCUAAGUGUUAGGGGGUUUCCGCCCCCCUUAGUGCUGCAGCUAACGCAUAAGCACUCCGCCUGGGAGUACGGCCGCAAGGCUG